UUGUUUUUUUUUUUUUUUUUUUUUUUUUUUUUUUUUUUUUUUUUUUGUUGUUGUUUUUUUUUUUUUUUUUUUUUUUUUUUUUUUUUUUUUUUUUUUUUUUUUUCCUUU